CGAUCCGCCGGUUUUCCCCGUCUGGUCUUCCGCAUCCGGUCCGGUGCUUCGCUCUCCCCCCGGCCCACCACCUCCCCACCUCCACCGUCACCGAACCCGAGCCCAGACCCCGACGCCGCACCCCCAAAACCGCCCAGCUCGGAUCCUUGCCGUCGUCGUUCCUUCUUCCCCAGACUCGCCCCCAAUCCCGGCGUCCAGCUCCGAUUCGCGCCCCCAAUCCUAGCACCAAUUCGCCGCUCCCACCUUCAGACGCGACCCCAAUACCGGCGCCCAGCUCGGAUCCUGGCGGCGCCGCAUCAACCUGCCGUCGGCGCUCAUUCACCCACGAGACGCGUCCCCAACUCCGGCGCCGUACCACCCCCAUCUCGGCGCGUCUCGGCCUCCCGUCGGUUUGUCUUCUGGUUCUCUCCACUUUUCUGGAUCGGCGGUGACGGCCCCCAAGAUCCGAUAAAGCCGUCCACCUCAGGGUCGCCCGAUCGCCGGAGAACAAGGCGGCUGCGUCCACCUCGCCCUCGGUGCCGCCCGAUCGCCGGAGAACAAGGCGGCUGCCGCGGCACCGGCGCCGCUCGCUGCGCCUGCUCCAUCUCCCUCGCCAGCAGGGCAGAGGAUCUCCGGCUGGCAGUCCACGGGGUCAGUGCGCGCGCCCAUGCGGGUCGGCAAACUGACCUCCGCCAUGCCUUCCUCGAGCAGAUCGACCUCCUAGCGCGGGGCCUCGGGCGCCAAGCAGCUCACGCAGCGACUGCGCCUGCAAGAAGACGCAGGCGGAAGUGGCAGCAGGGAGGAGGACGAGCGCCUGCCGCUUCUGCUUAUUAUGCAAAUCGAUGAGUGUAUCAUCAGCGUCAAUCCAUCGCUCCCACCGGCACCGGCGACGGCCCACUCAGCCAGGUUCAGCGUCGAGUGUCUCAAACGGCAAGGUCAACUUGCGGGGUUGCGGCGCCUGGCUCCAUCAUCAUCACCUGAAGCUGUCGAUUUCUUCUAAGGUUUCCUCCCUGCUGCUCGAAGCCCUUCCAUCCCCUCCUCUAUCCUAUUCUAUGUUGCUCGAUUUCUCAUGGCUACUUGACUACUAGUGUAGUGUUAGGGAUUUGCUCUUUUGGAAUAGGUCCAGCUGCCGGCGCACGUCCCUAACCUAGGAGCUAGACGCAACUAGCACCCCCAACCUCUGCAGGCUCUGAUCUGAAUACAGUUGUAGAACAUCCUCUUUUGAGCUGCUGAGUGCCAGGACCAUCCAUUCAACCCAAGAUAAUAUUGACAGUGUUUUGAAUUUUGAAUUAGCUAAAUACAUCGACUAUGCUAUCCAAUAAUAGUUUUUGCAAUUGGAUUUAGGCUUUUUGUUUCUAAUGGAUUACCUUUGAAACUAAACUUUUUUACUUACUGAUUUUCUAGCUGUUCAUUUCGAUCAUUCAUCGAUGAAGAGGUGAUUCUGCCGAUGUUGUGUUUUUGAGCUCCCCAUUUAAAAGAUUGUGUGUUUAAUCUUGCAUGCACUGGAUUUUAUCCUCUUAUAAGCAGAUCUGUUGGGCCCUCCUAGUUUAAUCUGGAUCUCCUGUUUUAGCUAUGCUUUUUCCCCAACAGUACCGUUGAUGCAAAAAGAAUCUUUAUUUUUGUCAGGUUAAGAUUCAUUAUGCCAUCUACUAUGCUUCCAUCCUAUCAUCCCUGUAAUUAACUAGCACAUAAAUAAGGAAAAUUUUAGCAGUUCAAUGCCUCUAUCAUUGAUGUAUCUCUGGUUUACUACCCAAUACCCAAUAAUGUUCCAAAUUAAUCUACUUAUACAAUCAAUGUUCUUAAGGCGCUGUCGCGGCGACCUACCCCCCUCACAACGCCUAGGCGUAUAAGGCGCGCGGCGAGGCGACGCCAUAGACAUAUCCUAAAUAUACCAUGAUAGUAAAAUUUAGUAGCAUAUACAUACCUUUGUUGAGCUGUUGCACCGUACAUUCUUCCUUCCCAAUUACUCCACUCAAGCAAGCAAUAGACUAAUAGAGGCAUCGAGCAGAGCAAGCACAGACAGCAGAGGGAACUAGGGAGCAGGGAAGAUAAACACGAGCACAAAGCAGAGGAAAGGGAAGGGAAGACCGGAGAUUGGAGAUGAAUUACCUAGGCAUUGCAGUCUAGCAAGGAGGCCGAAGAUAGCAGAGGAGGCGCACGGAGGCAGGGGCCCACGCGGAGAGGCGGGAGCGCGUGAAGGCGCAGAGGAGGCGGGGCUGCGCCGCCGCGCUGGGCCGCACGGGUCUCGCGGAUGAGCAGAGAUACACGGGACCGCGAGGCUGCAAGCAUCGCCGUGGUGAUGCGCAGAGCCGCGAGGGUCGCAGUCGCCGCCUCGGCGAGGAUCCAUGCCACCACCGUGAGUUCCCUUUGUUACCUCUCUCUUCUCUGUUUCCCUCUCCUAAUUAAGCCACGACUAGGCUUUUGCCGCUCGAUUUCGCGUCCAAUUCUCGCCCGCCCUCAAUUUCUCGUCCGAUUCCCGCCUGCCCCUCAAGUUCCCGCCUGCCCUGCUCCAAUUCCCGCCUGCCCUCAAUUUUCCGUGCGAUUCCCGCCCGCCCCUCGAGUUCCCGCCUGCCCUGCUCGAGUUCCCGUGCGGCACCCAUCUAUGGCGACCGCCUCGUCCCCCAGGACGCCCAGCGACCGCCUCGUCCCCCAGGCGGACGCCUUGCGCCUGAGGCGGACGCCAUAGGCGUUCUGGCAAGGCGAGGGGGACGCCUACCACCCCGAGCACGCCUCGAUGCCUAGUCGUCGCCUAGGCGAUGCCUUAAGAACAUUGUAUACAGUGCCACGAAUGCUUCGUUAUAGAAAAUGUGAUUUCUCAAACUGAUUAAAUGCCAAUUCUUUUAGUCGGCUUCUUUUAUAGAUCAAUUAUUCUUUGCUGAUCAAUUUCUGUGAGCUGACGAUUCCGUGGAAGUGAAUGCUGGCUGAAAAACUAGGCAUGUACAUGCAUCUGAUUUUUUUUUUGAAAAUUUGAUCAAUUUGCAAUAUACUAAGCACAAUUACAUUUGCAUCUACCCAUGUCUAUUUAUUUUAGGCAGAAUAGAUUAUGAGCCUGUUGUGCUUUUGUUUGUUUUAAUGCUAUGUAUAUGUAUUAUGCUAGUACAUUCCACAGUUUUUUUAGAACAGUAUAUUCCACAGUUAAGAAACUAUCAGAUGACUAUGAGAACUCACAACAGCAAUUUAAUCAUGUUGAGCUAGAUUGGGUAUUCAAGUUGGCAUAUUUGCCAACCAUUUUACUUUCACCAUUAAAUUAAGCAAUCUCUGGUGCGUGGAAGUACAUUUGGAUUUGUGUAGUUUGACUUAAACAAUUUACAUCUUCAGUUCAGCUGGUGAACACUAUUGUUCAUGGAUCUUAUUCACGGUAUUGUUACAGAUUUAAGGUUCCUGACUUUUACUUUGCUUAGGACACAUUGCAGGUGUGAGAGCAUCGAGUAAUCUCUGCACCAGUAUCACAUUAGAGCAGAUUGGUCAUAACAAGCAAGCUUGACAUUUGUUUGCAUUAUGGAAGACAUCCAAACUCGCUGUUAUGUCAGAUGCUGUUGAAAGCUGAAAUAUCUCUGAGGGAAAUGUAGAAAAAUCUUACUAGCGUCAUCAUUUAUAUCUUUCCGAGACAUACAUUUGUGUGCCUGUAAUAUGAUUUCCAAGGCAUCCCGGUGCAUAUGAUAUAUAAAUUCUUUCAUGUAUACUUUGUUCAAAA